rnacentral:rRNA from 1 species
UGGGGAAUUUUGGACAAUGGGCGAAAGCCUGAUCCAGCAAUGCCGCGUGUGUGAAGAAGGCCUUCGGGUUGUAAAGCACUUUUGUCCGGAAAGAAAUCCUUGGCUCUAAUACAGUCGGGGGAUGACGGUACCGGAAGAAUAAGCACCGGCUAACUACGUGCCAGCAGCCGCGGUAAUACGUAGGGUGCAAGCGUUAAUCGGAAUUACUGGGCGUAAAGCGUGCGCAGGCGGUUUGCUAAGACCGAUGUGAAAUCCCCGGGCUCAACCUGGGAACUGCAUUGGUGACUGGCAGGCUAGAGUAUGGCAGAGGGGGGUAGAAUUCCACGUGUAGCAGUGAAAUGCGUAGAGAUGUGGAGGAAUACCGAUGGCGAAGGCAGCCCCCCUGGGGCCAAUACUGACGCUCAUGCACGAAAGCGUGGGGAGCAAAACAGGAUUAGAUACCCCUGGUAGUCCACGCCCUAAACGAUGUCAACUAGUUGUUGGGGGAUUCAUUUCCUUAGUAACGUAGCUAACGCGUGAAGUUGACCGCCUGGGGAGUACGGUCGCAAGAUUAAAACUCAAA